rnacentral:rRNA from 1 species
GCGGCAGGCCUAACACAUGCAAGUCGAGCGGAAACGAGUUAUCUGAACCUUCGGGGAACGAUAACGGCGUCGAGCGGCGGACGGGUGAGUAAUGCCUAGGAAAUUGCCUUGAUGUGGGGGAUAACCAUUGGAAACGAUGGCUAAUACCGCAUGAUGCCUACGGGCCAAAGAGGGGGACCUUCGGGCCUCUCGCGUCAAGAUAUGCCUAGGUGGGAUUAGCUAGUUGGUGAGGUAAUGGCUCACCAAGGCGACGAUCCCUAGCUGGUCUGAGAGGAUGAUCAGCCACACUGGAACUGAGACACGGUCCAGACUCCUACGGGAGGCAGCAGUGGGGAAUAUUGCACAAUGGGCGCAAGCCUGAUGCAGCCAUGCCGCGUGUAUGAAGAAGGCCUUCGGGUUGUAAAGUACUUUCAGCGGUGAGGAAGGGGGUGUCGUUAAUAGCGGCAUUUCUUGACGUUAGCUGCAGAAGAAGCACCGGCUAACUCCGUGCCAGCAGCCGCGGUAAUACGGAGGGUGCGAGCGUUAAUCGGAAUUACUGGGCGUAAAGCGCAUGCAGGUGGUUUGUUAAGUCAGAUGUGAAAGCCCGGGGCUCAACCUCGGAACUGCAUUUGAAACUGGCAAACUAGAGUACUGUAGAGGGGGGUAGAAUUUCAGGUGUAGCGGUGAAAUGCGUAGAGAUCUGAAGGAAUACCAGUGGCGAAGGCGGCCCCCUGG